rnacentral:rRNA from 1 species
AUUGAACGCUGGCGGCAGGCCUAACACAUGCAAGUCGAACGGUAACAGGAAACAGCUUGCUGUUUCGCUGACGAGUGGCGGACGGGUUAGUAAUGUCUGGGAAACUGCCUGAUGGAGGGGGAUAACUACUGGAAACGGUAGCUAAUACCGCAUAACGUCGCAAGACCAAAGAGGGGGACCUUCGGGCCUCUUGCCAUCGGAUGUGCCCAGAUGGGAUUAGCUAGUAGGUGGGGUAACGGCUCACCUAGGCGACGAUCCCUAGCUGGUCUGAGAGGAUGACCAGCCACACUGGAACUGAGACACGGUCCAGACUCCUACGGGAGGCAGCAGUGGGGAAUAUUGCACAAUGGGCGCAAGCCUGAUGCAGCCAUGCCGCGUGUAUGAAGAAGGCCUUCGGGUUGUAAAGUACUUUCAGCGGGGAGGAAGGGAGUAAAGUUAAUACCUUUACUCAUUGACGUUACCCGCAGAAGAAGCACCGGCUAACUCCGUG